rnacentral:rRNA from 1 species
CGGGAUUGCCCCAGUAACGGCGAGUGAAGCGGCAAGAGCUCAAAUUUGAAAUCUGGCCCCUCCGGGGUCCGAGUUGUAAUUUGCAGAGGAUGCUUCGGGUGCGGCCCCUGUCUAAGUGCCCUGGAACGGGCCGUCAAGAGAGGGUGAGAAUCCCGUCUUGGGCAGGGUGCCCGUGCCCGUGUGAAGCUCCUUCGACGAGUCGAGUUGUUUGGGAAUGCAGCUCUAAAUGGGUGGUAAAUUUCAUCUAAAGCUAAAUACCGGCCGGAGACCGAUAGCGCACAAGUAGAGUGAUCGAAAGAUGAAAAGCACUUUGAAAAGAGAGUUAAACAGCACGUGAAAUUGUUGAAAGGGAAGCGCUUGCGACCAGACUCGGCCUCGGGGUUCAGCCAGCAUUCGUGCUGGUGUACUUCCCGGGCCGGCCAGCGUCGUUCGGGCGGC